GUUUAAUGCGUGAUAUGUUUAAAAAGUCUAUUUUUCAUGCAAUAUUCAGCACAAUAUUAGCAAGAAGAUAAUUUAUCUGGUUGUUUAACCAUCAGCCUUUCUAGGGUGUGUUCUCUGACCACGUGUGAGCGUGUGACCGUGAGAGUCGUGUGUCGGGGACUCGCAACCGGGCUGAAUCGUUCCAGGUGGCGAAAUAAAAAGUGUCCAGCGUCCCGUUGGAACUAAUAAGGCAGGUUUCACAGGAUCACUAAAGAACGGUGUUUGAGCAGCUCAGCAGCAGCAGCCCGUCCAGGCUGAAUGGAGGCAUCUAGAAACCGAGAAGGAAACUAUAGAAUGUAGUCCUCAGGAAGUACUAGGCUACAUGACAACAGCACUCAGCUUAACUUAACAUAACUUCACAUCAACGAGGGACAAGGCAGAAUCAUCAAGCAUCAAUCACAAAUAACAUCUAUAAAAUAUAUACAGAAGAAAUAAGCAAUGAAAAAAGUAUAAUCAUGUGGUU
ensembl:lncRNA